AAAUUCCCACACUGGGGAUUUCGAUGGCAAAUCAAUUUUCCGGGAGGAGCUCUCCGCUCAGGUUUGCGAACCACGAGGCUAAAUUCCCCUCUGGAGCAAAAAAUACUUCAAAAAAUUCAGAAAAAAGUAAAGAAAAAUCAUAAAUAUUUAGAAAAAUCAGAAACGCCUUGAAAAAUCUCUAAAAAACAAAAAUCUACACCAGCCUUACAUGACCAUCC
rnacentral:lncRNA from 1 species